CGCCCUUCAGAGGGGGACAACAGUUGGAAACGACUGCUAAUACCGCAUACGAUCCAAUCUCGGCAUCGAGGAUGGAUGAAAGGUGGCCUCUAUUUAUAAGCUAUCACUGAAGGAGGGGAUUGCGUCUGAUUAGCUAGUUGGAGGGGUAACGGCCCACCAAGGCAAUGAUCAGUAGCCGGUCUGAGAGGAUGAACGGCCACAUUGGGACUGAGACACGGCCCAG
rnacentral:rRNA from 1 species